rnacentral:misc_RNA from 1 species
UGAUGAGCUACUUUUGCAGAAAAUAUAAGAACAAUAAUAAUUCUGGAAAAAUGCAAUAAAUUAACAGAAUAUAUUACGAGGCAUUGUAAACAAUAGCUGUGGUGAUUUUAAGACCACUAAAUAACAGUUCCAUUACGGGGUUAAUUUUACUCAUAGUCUCUCAUACAUGAUUGUAUCAAUAUCAUUCCUCAACUUCAAUUUGUAUCAUAAAAAUUCCCGAAUUUCAUUUUAAGUAUCACUAAAAUCCCUCUAACCUGCUAUUACAGGUUUCCAG